CAAAAAAAAAAAAAAAGAAUUUUCUUCUAUUUUUGCCAUCAGUACUGGUGAUGAUGGUCUGGUUUCUACAAAAUGCAUCUCCUCAAUCUUGAUUGAUUUGUAUGCCAGAACUAUCUGCUGCAGAGGGCUUCUCUAUUAAAAUCAGUCAUCCCUAGUUACAAUGGUAGGUAUUUGGCCAUGAUUAACUAAAUCAAUCUUAUUCAAACGCACACAGCACAGAGCUUGCUCUGGCAGUUCCUCUGGCUUUUGUGCCUGAAUAGUUAAGCCCACAUUAGCUAUCCCAUCCUUCAUACGCUCUCGGAAUGCUUCAAGUCCUUUCCGAGAUAUGUAGCUGAAACGGUGUAUAUCUAGGUCAAUCUCCAAAUAAUUAGGUCCCCUAUAGAAUUCGUGCUGAGGGCGCGAAAGUACUGGCUUAUCAUUAUAAGCUUGUAUAAGCUUCCUUUCUGUAGAACUCAACUGCAAAUCCUCUGGAUUAACCAACCCUACCAGAAUUUUUAGCCUUUCUCUGAAAGGAACUGUUGACUCCUUUGCAAAUCCUCUAACCUUCUCCAUAUCAUCCUCAACCAGUCUCUUGAUGGAGUCUUGAAAGUGAGGAGAGGUCUCCUUGUCAAAAUUCUCAGAUAGUUUAAAAUAUAAUACAAGGCUCAUGCCUUCCCCAUCACAAUCACCUUGGAACAUGGCAACAGGAUAAGUGGGAAGCUGUAUGUUAACAAUUAGAAGUGAUGGCACAUUCUCAUGUGGUUGCACAUAAGGAAGCUCAAGGUGUUGAGCAAUAUGAUUUAUCUUUCGUGGGCAUGCAAAUAAAUCAGCACCCAUUGGUACAUAGGGGCUGAAAUUUGGAGCAGGGGACUUCUGCUUAUCUCUGCAUUAUUAGUUUUUUGAUGUUCAAACUCCAUGAGAAAAAUAGAAAGGAAACCAAAAAACCUAAAGAAUACAUUCCCAUACUAAGUAUGCAGAAAUGACUUGUGACUACGGUGAGUGAUAACAUGCCUGAAAUAAUUCUCGCCCCGAAGUUUAAAAACCGAAGGUGAAACCUCAGCCCAACAUCCUGGAGUAGGCUUCUCCCCUUUUGAACUUGGAAUUUGAAAUCCUGCUCUCGGGCGAUAUAACAAUCUCCCAGCUGCACCAGCUUAAGCAUCGAGUCAUGAUUAGUAAAGAACAGCACUUAUAUUCAAAUUAUUUACAAACAAGACGGCAAUUUUAUUUUUCACCAGUUUAUAUUCAAUUCACAACUUACAGAAAUCAGUGAAUGAACUGUUCUAUUAACAAAACUUGGCUUUGGAAAAUAGAAUUCAUGAUCACGUACUUAGCAUUGCUUUGUGUUUCAUGUGUGGUAGUGGCACUUCUACUAUUAGUAAGAAAUAAACCAUAUUGCAAAAGUUGAAAAGCAGCGUUUUCAACUAAUUAAAUUCUAAGCAUACUAAAAACAAUUACUGUGAAUACUCACAGAAUUGGGUCUUUUCCUCUCCAUCACAGGAUUUCCUCUUUAAAGAAACCAUAAUAACUGUUGAUUUCCUUCUAUUUUCUUGAACUUUCUCUCCAGAGUCACAAGUGAGCUCUUUAAGACCUUUGAAACUUCCAUAAGGAUCAUCAACAACUUUCUUUGUCUUCGUAGCAAUGUCAUCACCUUUAGGAACCCCUCCAUCUAUUUUCAGGUAACUUUCAUAGAACCCCUCAUACUUGCUUCCAGUAUCUAAGAUGCGUGAUGCAGUUCCAUACUGAAGCAAUUGAGUGCUUGGUUUUUGCCCAAUUGUACUACCAACACAAGAAAAACCAUCUCCAUGCACACUACUGAAGUCAUCAUCUGAAUCUGAGUCCAUAAUACUGACAGAAUCAAACCAUACUUCCUCUUGGCAUAUUCCAUUUGCAUCAAUUUGGCUAUGGUUCCAUUGUAGCUGUGUAUGAUGGAAAGUCUUGUUAGAAGCUUCAGAUCUUCUGCAGGUAGUUGCAGCACCCUUCUCAAAAUCAAGAUGAACAUACUCGCUAAGGGUAUAAUCUCCUAUUGUAGAAUCACUAAACCGUUUGAUAGGUACAUCAGGAAUAGAAGUGGAAAUCUUUCUACGGCGUUUGGCAGAUUUGCGGAGGUGUUUCCUAUAUGAUCUUGUUCUUCUAUUGGCUGUUGAGACGCAUCCACCCAUUGUGACUACAACCUUCUAUAAACACCAAACUAGUAAAUGGUUUUUUCAAAGAGAAGGCACCAAGAACACAAGAUUGAGGAGAGAACAGGAACCUGCAAUAUUUUCCUUCCUGCCAAAUACAGGAGAAAAACUAUCAAAGCGGAUGAUUGAGUAGAAUUCCAUACUAGAGCAAGCCUCUUAACACAAAAGUUAUAGUAGUUAACCAUAAAUAUUCAAGGCAGAACAAUAUAUAAAGAAUAACAAGAAAAACCACAAAUUGAAACAGUUGUAAAAGAAGAAAGUCAUGUUUGCAUGCCUUCAGGUGAUGAGAACAUCUGCAGAAAAUACCAUUUCAUUUUCUUCUCCAAGUUCACACACCAAUUUCAACAUUUUUCCAAUGGUUUCAAGUUCUCACAAGUAUAUUAUCAUAAAGCUGAACGUUUGCCCAGGAUGAUUCCAAUUUGACAACAGCAUCAACAAUUUAAGGCCUAAGUCUAAGCAGGAAGGUAACAAAAUCAUGAAUCAAUUUGGGUUUGCUAUAAAAUAUGUAAUCUCUCUCUAAAAGCAUAAGAGAGGAUCAAAUGAUUUUGUAUUGAAGAAAGAACAAGUGAAUCAUCAGGGUGUAAAAGGGGAGAAAAGAUUGCUAUGAGUCCACAUCAUGUAAGAUAGAAAAAAAGACAAAUGAUGAACAUGAAAAAGUAUUAAACAAAUGAUGAACAUGAAAAAUAUUAAGUCCCUAUCAGAGGGCACAAGUUCCUCCUAGUUAAAAUGUGAUGUGUUUAACUGUUGACACAUUUGAGGGGAGGAAAAAAAAAACACCAUAUAGGACCCAUUUGAGUAUCAGACAGAAUCGUCAUCAACUAGAACAAAAAAAAAUCAAGAAAUGUAAUGUGAAAAAACCCAAAAUGGAAAUUUUCUACAGCAUGAAACAAAAAAAGAAACUUUUACAGAUACAAACAGGUAAUAACAGAACAUUGAUUGAAAUGAACUAUGGCAAUGCAUGAAACGGAAGCAUGAAAAGAAAGGAAACGAAAGG
rnacentral:misc_RNA from 1 species